rnacentral:lncRNA from 1 species
CUGAGAUGAUAAUUAUUUUUUUUUGUUCUGCCCACACAUAUUUUUAUCAGAUGUUAUGUUUUAUACAACAGUUCCAAAUAAAAUUCAGAUUUUUGUUCACUAAGUGCUCUCAACAAACAAAAUCUAUCCGAGCCGAUGUGUGCUUUUUUCCUGGGAGUGAAAAUUUUUGUAUCAAAAUCAACUCAACAAAUGCAGGGCCGUGCCGUGCUAUGAUGCGGUGAGGCAGUCGCAUCAGGCGGCAUCACAAGGGGGGCGGCAUAAUCAGUAAAAUAAAAAAAAUUGUCAGAUUGCGUAAAAAUGCUGUCAGAAACUAUAGGAAGAAUGAAAAGUUACAGACAAUAUGGCUAAUAACCAAAUUAAAAUUUAAUGAAAUUUCAGAAAAUAUUGAUAUAAGUUCCGAAUUUCCAGCUGAAAAUAAAAUUUCCAGGAGAAAAAAGCGUUUAUUUGCUUACGAAAAAUCUGUGGACGAGCUCUUAACAGAUGAAGCUAAAUUUAAAAUGAAGUUCAUCUAUAUUUUAUACAUUGCCGUUAAGUGGAUAGGAGCAAAAUUUCCUUGCAAUGCCUUUCCUUCAUUUUUUUCGAAUCCUGAGAAAACUAAUUAGUAUUUUUGAAAAACUUUAACGCAGAAUAAAAGAUUACAUUAUUACCGACGCACAGUGGUCCAAAGGGACAAAAAGCUGGCCAAAACUAAAUAAAACUUUUUUUUUAUUUUUUAAUUUUACCUUGUUUUAUUGUAAAGGGGGAUAUUCUACGUAUUAUCCUGAAAGAAAUAGGCAGGUAGCUUUAAAACUCGCUCUUGUGUGUCAGUCAGAAUCCGGCUCCGCCGGAGUGCAUCUCAUACGCGCCUCAUUUGUCUACUUUACGCGACAGUGUCGGUGGGAGCAACGGUGUGUCGGAUUGUAAAUCCGUAAAAUGGAGGGGAAUCCUGAAGUACCCUGCUCUGGGACUUACAGGGAAAUUUGUGUUAUACUCGCAGGGAAAUUUUUGAAGUAGUGAAAAACGAUCUGCCAAAUGAAUUAAACGAGCAGAUACUACUUUUGGAAAAACAUUUCAAUAAAAAACUUCCCGCAUCCUGCACGCUACAUUUGAAUUCCAUCAACGACGUAAAAAAGUUGCUGUCCAAAUUCAAAAAAAAGUGGAAGAAAUCGUGCAGAAUAAAAGAAAAAAACUUAUUCAUGGUCACGCCAUAAUCGAAGCUUUGCCCUUACCUAUUGGAAGAUUAUCUGAAGAUGCGCAAGAAGCCAGAAACAAAGACAUCACACGUUAUCGUGAAAAUUUUUCUCGUAAGUAUUCACGAGAAAAGACAAUGGAAGAUGUUUUUCACCGGCUACUCGCAUCUUCGGAUCCCUUCAUCUGCAGCUUGCAAAAUUAUAAAAGCAAAGUGAGCAAACCAUUUCCGCCUAAAGUUCGAGAUUUAUUUGUUCAAACAUUUGCGAAAUUUCAUGUUGCGAAAGAAAGUGACAGUGAACGUUCUGAUAACGAUGAAUGCGAGUUGGAUUACGAUUUUUAAUGUCAUGUACUUUUUAAAAACUAUCUUGAUAUGUAUGUAAUACACAAUAAAAACUUGUUUAGUAUUAACUGUAAUAUUAUAAUAAUUAAUGAAUAAAUAUUUUUUUUGCACAG